AUUGAACGCUGGCGGCAUGCCUUACACAUGCAAGUCGAACGGUAACAGCAGAGCUUGCUCUGGCUGACGAGUGGCGGACGGGUGAGUAAUGCAUCGGAAUGUACCCAGUAGUGGGGGAUAGCCCGGCGAAAGCCGGAUUAAUACCGCGUACGCACUACGGUGGAAAGUGGGGGACCCUCGGGCCUCACGCUAUUGGAGCAGCCGAUGUCAGAUUAGCUUGUUGGUGGGGUAAAAGCCUACCAAGGCGACGAUCUGUAACUGGUCUGAGAGGACGACCAGUCACACUGGGACUGAGACACGGCCCAGACUCCUACGGGAGGCAGCAGUGGGGAAUUUUGGACAAUGGGGGAAACCCUGAUCCAGCAAUGCCGCGUGUGUGAAGAAGGCCUUCGGGUUGUAAAGCACUUUUGUCAGGAAAGAAAACUAGUUGGUUAAUACCCGGCUGGGAUGACGGUACCUGAAGAAUAAGCACCGGCUAACUACG
rnacentral:rRNA from 1 species